rnacentral:lncRNA from 10 species
GGGCGGACAAAAGAGAGACAAUUAAACCAACACGGAAACAAGAUAUUUCGAUUGUCAUAAAUGCUACAAGGGAAGAAAACCGAGAGUGCUGAGAGACUGAGCACUUCCGGACAGCCUCUCCAGGAGUCCAGCUGGAGCCAAGACCCAGAGAAUGAAGAGCAAGAGAGAGUGUUUCAGACAGAGGUCCGAGGGUCAGAGGCUUGAGGUGGAGAAGACACAGCCUUGAGGAUCCCACAGAAGCCAAUGUGGAGACCAGGGCCAGAUCGUUAGGGGAUCGAAGGCCACAGGUAUAUGGGAAAAGAAUCAUGCUCACUACUAAUGAAUGAACAAAUGAGCUGCGGGAAGACUGUGUAUGACAGAUGCUCACCUUUCCUUUCAUCCCUUUUCACCUUAUUCUGAUAAGCCACAAAUGCAGAACUGAAUUCAGAGGAUCUACUGGAUGACACUUGUUUCGUUAUUGGUGACAAUGGACCCAGCACUGCCAAACUCUGUACAGAGAUGCGUGGAUUGGUCUCUGUCCUCAAAAACCUGCAGCCAACCUGAGUGGACAGGACUAACAUGCUGAAACAAGUAGAGGAUGACAGAGAUGCUACAGACUUGACUACUGCACUGCAUAGGUCAGCAGUUGUAUUAGUCUGUUCUCACACUGCUAAUAAAGACAUACUUGAGACUGGGAAAUUUAUAAAGGAAAGAGGUUUAAUGGACUCACAGUUCUACAUGGCUGGGGAGACCUCACAAUCAUGGCGGAAGGCGAAUGAGGAACAAAGUCAUGUCUUACAGGAUGGCAGGCAAGAGAGUGUGUGCAGGGGAACUCUCCUUUAUAAAGCCAUCAGAUCUCAUGAGACUUAUUCACUCUCAAGAGAACAGCUAGGGAAAGACCCACCCCCAUGAUUCAAUUACCUCCCACUGGGUCCCUCCCACAACACGUGGGAAUUAUGGGAGCUACAAUUCAAGAGGAGAUUUGGGUGGGGAUACAGCCAAACCAUAUCAGAGGUGCAGAGAAAAGUGGGACCUACAUGGACUGGAGGGGGAAAAAAAAAAGGAAAUUAUCUUGUGAUUGCAGGGUUUAGGCAGCAGCAUGGCUCAGUUUGGGGAAAUAAUACCUAGAAUUAAAUCAAUUGGUCUUACCCUUGCACCUACUUAUUUAACCAAACUUUGUACGUGCCAGGCAUUCUUCUAAGUGCUUUACAAAUAAUAUUUUAUUCAAUCCUUAAAACAACCUGUGUAGUAGACUAUUAUUAUCCAUGCUUUUUAAAUUGUGGUAAAAUAUACAUCACAUACAAUUUACCAUUGUAACCAUUUUUAGGUUUAUUAUUCAGUGGCAUUAAACACAUUCAGUGUUGUGUGACCAUCAUCACUACCCAUUUCCAGUCUUUUUUACUAUCUCAAACAGAAACUUCAUAUUUAUUAAACAAUAACUGCCCAUCUGUCCUCCCCCUAGACUCUGGCAACCACAAUUGUACUUUCUGUCUCUAUGAAUUUGCCUAUUCUGGGUACCUCACAUAAGUGGAAUCAUAUUUGUCCUUUUGUGACUGGUUUAUUUCACUUAGCAUGAAGGUUCAUCCAUGUUGUAGCAUGUAUCAGAACUUCAUUCUUUUUUCUUCCUUCAGAGUAGAGGAGGGAAAAAUAAUUUGAUUCCUUUUUUAGACUGAGUAAUAUUCGUAUAUGUAUGUAUGUGUGUAAAUAUAUGAUAUAUGUAUGUAUACACAUUUUAUUUAUCCA